GAGCGAACAGAUAAGGAGCUUGCUCCUUUGACGUUAGCGGCGGACGGGUGAGUAACACCUGGGGUUAACCUACCUAUAAAGACUGGAAUAACUCCGGGAAACCGGGGCUAAUGCCGGAUAACAAUAUAGAACCGCCAUGGUUCUAUAGUGAAAGAUGGUUUUGCUAUCAAUUAUAGAUGGACCCGCGCCGUAUUAGCUAGUUGGUAAGGUAAUGGCUUACCAAGCCGACCGAUACGUAGCCGACCUGAGAGGGUGAUCGGCCACACUGGAACUGAGACACGGUCCCAGACUCCUACGGGAGGCAGCAGUAGGGAAUCCUCCGCAAUGGGCGAAAGCCUGACGGAGCAACGCCGCGUGAGUGAUGAAGGGUUUCGGCUCGUAAAACUCUGUUAUUAGGGAAGAACAUAUGUGUAAGUAACUGUGCACAUCUUGACGGUACCUAAUCAGAAAGCCACGGCUAACUACGUGCCAGCAGCCGCGGUAAUACGUAGGUGGCAAGCGUUAUCCGGAAUUAUUGGGCGUAAAGCGCGCGUAGGCGGUUUCUUAAGUCUGAUGUGAAAGCCCACGGCUCAACCGUGGAGGGUCAUUGGAAACUGGGAAACUUGAGUGCAGAAGAGGAAAGUGGAAUUCCAUGUGUAGCGGUGAAAUGCGCAGAGAUAUGGAGGAACACCAGUGGCGAAGGCGACUUUCUGGUCUGUAACUGACGCUGAUGUGCGAAAGCGUGGGGAUCAAACAGGAUUAGAUACCCUGGUAGUCCACGCCGUAAACGAUGAGUGCUAAGUGUUAGGGGGUUUCCGCCCCUUAGUGCUGCAGCUAACGCAUUAAGCACUCCGCCUGGGGAGUACGACCGCAAGGUUGAAACUCAAAGGAAUUGACGGGGACCCGCACAAGCGGUGGAGCAUGUGGUUUAAUUCGAAGCAACGCGAAGAACCUUACCAAAUCUUGACAUCCUUUGACCACUCUAGGAGAUAGGAGCUUUCCCCUUCGGGGGACAAAGUGACAGGUGGUGCAUGGUUGUCGUCAGCUCGUGUCGUGAGAUGUUGGGUUAAGUCCCGCAACGAGCGCAACCCUUAAGCUUAGUUGCCAUCAUUAAGUUGGGCACCUCUAGGUUGACUGCCGGUGACAAACCGGAGGAAGGUGGGGAUGGACGUCAAAUCAUCAUGCCCCUUAUGAUAUGGGCUACACACGUGCUACAAUGGACAAUACAAAGGGCAGCUAAACCGCGAGGUCAUGCAAAUCCCCAUAAAAGUGGUGUUCUCAGUUCGGAUUGUAGUCUGCAACUCGACUACAUGAAGCUGGAAUCGCUAGUAA
rnacentral:rRNA from 1 species